UAUUUCUGAAUUGAUUAGACCCUAUGGCUGCUGCGCAUCCGUUUCUCGUGAAACUCACGCACUUGACGGUCCCUUUUGAUACGAACGCUCAUAAGCAGCUCCUUUCUUUUCCUAUAUAGAACAUCAUGCUGUAUACAUAGUUAUGCAGUCUCGCUGUGUAUGUGUAUAACAGCCGUUUGUCCACAACUGGCGAAGCAAUCAUCAAAAUCGAUAACCGACAAAAAGAUGGAACGACGCACAGCAGCACAGCUAUAUAGGGAUCUAUUCAAUCGGCAUCCAUAAAUGCCACAGCUGCUAUCUCUCGCUUUUGGCUGCUUGCCACAGCAUGUCGGACAAAACAAACCACUCGAUCUCGCCAUCAGCCAUUUGUUCUCGUUUACAUAUUGUUAUUGAUCCGUGCUGUUAGAGACAGUCCCCCGUCAAUACAUAUAGACCUAUACUCUUGUUAAUUGCACAAUCACGGCCGGGAUUUUGAGUGAAAAAAAAAA